UAUCUUUGCCGCUUGAUUACCAAAAUGGUAUUCAGUACAUAAAAAUCAUUUUAAUAAUAUUGGCAUG
rnacentral:ncRNA from 2 species